CCCAGGCCACCGAAGCAGAGCGUGCAAACUUAACCACUCGGCCAUGGGGCUGGCCCCUCUGCCCUCUCUUCUUUAUAUCAAACCUAUUUCUUUCAUGCACAGAAACUGCAGACACUCAGACUUACAAGCUUUAAAAAACUGACAUUAUAUGUGAUAUUAAAUACAUUAUAUAUUAUAUACAUUACAGACAAUCACCAGAUAGACUGUGUUCCAAUUGUCUUUCUCUGUGGUCACAGGGAAAAAAACAGAAAACCAGGGAUAUUUUGGUGAAAAAUUUCAACUAGAAAGACAAGGGAAGGGAAAAAUCUGAAAAAGUCCUCAAGGGGCCUAUGACAUUCCAUCUUUCCAAAGGGAAAAAAUAUUAAGUGUUUAUAAAGCAUUGGAAAUAACAGGGAAAGUUCAUCUUAUAUUUUUAAGGUGAAGAAAGGGGGCUCAAGAAUGCAAAACUGCCUACAUGUUCCUCAUUUUUUUUUGCGUUCACUUUGCACCUAUUACCUAGCUUUUUCCAUGAGGCAUGUAUAUUCCACUCUUCUUAAUCUGGCCCUCUGGUGCAGGGGAUGUGAGCCGAAGAUGUCAAGAAGGUGCAAAGGCUCCACAUUUUAAAAUGUUACGCCUGAGGUUAACAGACAUGUAGUUUUAAUUCUAAAUUUUGCCUGAGGAAUGGUGAAAAGGAAGAAGAUGCAAAUUUUAUACAAAUAUAUUCGUGCACCUCUUUACUUCACAAGCUUGGAUACACAGCUUGGAUAAAUUUUGGUGGCCACCGCCCACGCUGAGGUAUCAAAAUGCAGGGUAUUAUUUAAAUGCAAAGUAAUUAUCCCAUUAAUUCACUUCCAUCUUGAAAGUGCAACCAGAGAAAAAAAGAAAACAAAUCAUCUGGGAGGUUGCAAGUCACAUGCAUAAUUAAUUUGCCUGCCGAAUUUGGCGUCUUAGCUUUUGUGCCUGUGGAGAACAUAAUCUCUUUUGCAUUUUAGCUCUGCCAGUCAAGAGGAUGUGUGCGUGUGUGUGUGUGAGAGAGAGAGAGACAGAGAGACAGAGAGACAGAGAGGAGGAAAGAGAGACAGCAAGAAACAGAGAGGAGAGAGAGAGAGCAUGUCGAGCUGUCCAUGUAACUGAUGCUGGACUAAAACAAGAAUCAAUGCUGCAACCACAGAACUGUGGCUUUGCUGGUUCCUCAAUUUAACAUCUUAGCUUUUCCUUCCGCCAGAAAAAACAACUGACCAUAUUUGAGAAACAAGCCUCCUUAUAAUUUACCAGCGGGACUGACACAGGCGGGGCUCUGAAGUUGAGCAAAACUUAUUUUAACUCAUUGUCUGCAGUAUCUUACGAGAUGGAGCAAUUAUGAAAUUACUGGGAAGAUUGAUGUAAUGACUGAAAUUGACAAACCAAAACAACGGGAACAGUCAAUAGUUUAAGGAAGUUGAAUCAGGAGGGAACUGAGAAAAACAACAGGGAGACGCCAUCUGGAGAGUCCAGUGAUUACAGCAGCUGCAGGGAGAAGCCACCAGAAGAUGAAUGUCUAAUCGGGUAGGAACUUCUGAGAACUUCAAAAAGAAAAGAAUGUGAAACAUGGAAAACUCUUGACUUAAGAAGUGCAUUGCCAUCUGGCAAAAUAGGGAAAUUUAAAACUCUUGGAACCUGCUGACGUUGAUUAGUUUUAUAUUUUGGUGGGCUCUAAUGUUAAUUUUUAUUUCUGCGGGGUUCAAUAUGCAGAUGGAAUAGCAUCACUUCAGUUGAUGAUACUUGUGAGUUGGGAAACUAGCAGACAAAAAAACCCUAGGAAGACAAUUAGAUUAAUCUAAAUAAUGUCACUUUGCUAUAAAACCUGCUAUUAGUGAUAAAGUCCAAUGCCUUUAUAAUCCUACUUUAUAAAUUUCUGGCUCUUCAUAAAUGUAGUCUUAAGAGUAAAUUUCUUAAUUUUAUUUUACCUAACAUGAUUUUGAAAUUCGUUUGCCAUCUCUUCUCCAUAUACAGAGGGGCCUUAGCUCUUUAGGUAACAAGGGGAAAUUGACUUGAGAGUUUUCUGAGGAUAAUCCAAAGUGACUACUUUAAAGUUAAUGAUAUUUGUUCCUGUGUUCUUUGUCAUCAAAGAAGCCCAGUAUUAUCAGGUACGUAGUUUUGACAAGGGUAGCUAAAUUUCAGCUCAGUUAAUGUAGUUAGACUAAAAUAAUGAGACUAUAAUUUUGCCUAUUUGCUAUGAUUCUUGGGCAAUUUCUUAAAUUCCUUGAAGUCAAUGUCCAUUUAGUGCUUUGAGGCUAAAAUGAAGAAUAGUGCUUUGGCAAAGAGGAAGCAUGGUUGAAGGCAAAAUAUUACAUUUUUGUUGUAUCUUCUUUCAUAGCAGUCAUUGGGGGGAACUCAGUAAAUACUAAGUUAAAUGAAAUCAAAGAAAAGACUUUCAUGUGUUUCUAAGGAACUGAGAAAAAAUACCUGUGACAAAUUUUCAAUUUGAUAAAUAUCAUUAGUACCCACCACGUGCUAGGAAAGGUAGAGAAGGGGCUCAGGCUGUCAGCAAAUAAGGCCUUGAAACUAAAACAAUAUGAUUCCUGCUAUAAUUACUCUAAGGUCAAAGCAUUAAGCAAACACACACAGAAGAAACAGUAGGAGCAAGAAGGCGGGGGCAGGUCCAGUAGGGAAGGUCUUGAAAAGGAUAUGUUUCUUGAAAUGAGCCUUGAAAAAUGACCACAUGUUUUACAAAUAAAGAAAGCAACUGGAGAAACAGUUGGAGCCAAAAGAAGUGAAAUAGCUUGGAACUUUCUGGUGGCUUGUGGUCUUGUGUGGGUAAGUGAGAACGUGGGUAAGUGAGGGGGGCGGUGAGAAGAUGUGGGACAGCUAGAGCAGAAGGAAGUGACAAGAAAGAAGGUUGGGGAAGUGGCUGAGGCAAGUCUGUGAAGACAUACAAUUCUUUAGUAAAAUUAUGCAUUAAGUAAAAGAAAAUACUUCUUCAUCCUAUUAUUAUAUGAAACCUGCAAUGAUAUCUCUUAUUUAUAAAAAUAUAAAUGUUUCUGAGUUUAUUGCAAUUUUUUCCUUCUCUUUUUCCCUCUCUUUUGUGUUUUCUCUCUCUUUUAAAAUUGUGGGUGCGAAUAUCUCUUCAGUCAGCUUCAGAAAUAAAAGCCUGUAAUGAUCUACAUCUGGGAAGAGCAUGCUGGUGUGGAAGAGAGAAUCUGGAAGAGAUAGAAAAUUAUAGAAAGGCAGUAUGGAGCCUGAAAUCCUCGCUACCUACCGCCUCUCACCCCCUCCAACUGCCCAGUGACUCUGGACCAGUUCCUUCAAUGAUCUAAGCCCAUUCUUCAACUCUAAAGAUAGUUGAGAGGAUUAAAUGAGGUAAUGCAUGGAGAGUGGCUACACACAGCAUAAUUUAUGAAGGAGACAAAACUUAAAAUACGACAAAGAAAAGCAUCCUGAGAUACUAAUGAAAUGUCUCCCUAAGCACAACUCCACCCCAUACAGCAUGCUUGUUCAAAGAGCAAGACCCAGAAGAUUCUUCCCUGAUGAUACUGGGAGUGAGCCAGAACGAAGAGGAAUGGAUAUUUUCUAACACACCAGGUUGACGCUUUAACAAUCUAAACUCGAUUUAAAUCAAGAGACUUUUUCUAUUUUGAAUUAACUUUUUCAUAUUCUGUUUUAUUCCCUCCCAAUGCAAGGAAAAUACUGAUCUUCCUUUGCAUCCUAAUUUAUUUUAUACUCAUUAAUAUUUUUACUAAAAAUAAGACACAGAAUAUUUUUAAUUUGUUCUUUUCUGGGAUGCAAGUCCUCCCCCUGCAAUUUCACAUUUUUGCCAGUUUAAAACUAUUCAGGUGAGAUGUAUGAGACAAUGCUGAUGGUCACAUUUUGCAAAUUCCAGAAAUUCACAUAUGUACAUAUACGGUUAACUCCAUUCAAAUUGGCCUGUGAACGUAUUCUUCAAACAAUUUUAUUUAAUAGAAGCCAAUGAUGAUAAAUGUAUGUAAAUUCAAAAUUAAGAUGUGUGGAUAAACUACCUUUGUUUAAUGAAACUUUUUAAAAAAGUGGUCCUGAGGAAGUAAUUUUAGAAAACAAGUUGCUGUAUUUGAUUAAGAAAAAUUGGGUUUUCAUAAGUAUGCUGAUGAAUGAAUCCAUUUCCAGUCAAAAUGGCUUUUACGUUUAUCAUCUGUCAAUGGUUCUUAAUAUUGUUGGAUAAUGAUAAUUAAAUAAAGGCUGAUGCUCCAAGAUCCAAAGUCUAUGUUUCAACAAAGUUCCUGGAAUAAACAUCCCAUAUCAACUUUAUAAGAAUUUCUAUUGUAGACAGAAGCCUUUCUUCUAGAAUUUAAUGGUCAUUUGUAGGGUCAUAAGCAUAACGAAUAGUUCCGACAAAUCUAUGAGAACAGUACAAUUAAGCAACACAAAUUGCUUUUAUUUUUAGAGAAUAAACGGAGAAGAGGCGGCCUCUACUUCCAUGUGGUUAUUAAGCACACCCAUUAAAAACCGUUGGCGCCAAAAUCACUCAGAUAACCAGUAUCACACUCAGUAACAUAUGACUCAAGAUGUUAAUAUAUCCACUGAAGUACUGGCAAGAAGUUUUUUAGAAAAACAGAACCACAGGAGCUAAAAUUAAACUACCUCCAUUAGGCCAAUGAGCAACUCAAUCUAAAUGAUCAAUAUGCACUUUCCUGAAAACAUUUUAAAGCAGAUAAAAUCACAGUAAAUAGCCUCCCUAAAGGACCAAUAAAAUAAAUCAGAACAUGGUUUGGUUUAGAAAGGAAAAAAAUGAUAAUUUUUUUUGGGAAGGGGUGAUAACUGUGAUAACCGGGGAAGAAAUCAUCCUAGAGAGCUGAGGGGGCCCACUCUGCAGGGCCACAUGAGGUGGCUUUGCUGGGAAGCUCCAUGGUGGCAGGGCUCACACAGGGCUCAUGUGACAGGUGCUCAGAUCUCUAGUACCCUUAAGGCAAAACCCACAACCCACAGAAACAGAGCCGACCAACAAGCAAAACGUCCUAAGCACUUAGAAAAAGCAAAAAGACUUAAAGAAAA